GAUGAACGCUGGCGGCGUGCCUAAUACAUGCAAGUCGAGCGAACAGACGAGGAGCUUGCUCCUCUGACGUUAGCGGCGGACGGGUGAGUAACACGUGGAUAACCUACCUAUAAGACUGGGAUAACUUCGGGAAACCGGAGCUAAUACCGGAUAAUAUAUUGAACCGCAUGGUUCAAUAGUGAAAGACGGUUUUGCUGUCACUUAUAGAUGGCUCCGCGCCGCAUUAGCUAGUUGGUAAGGUAACGGCUUACCAAGGCGACGAUGCGUAGCCGACCUGAGAGGGUGAUCGGCCACACUGGAACUGAGACACGGUCCAGACUCCUACGGGAGGCAGCAGUAGGGAAUCUUCCGCAAAGGGCGAAAGCCUGACGGAGCAACGCCGCGUGAGUGAUGAAGGUCUUCGGAUCGUAAAACUCUGUUAUUAGGGAAGAACAAAUGUGUAAGUAACUAUGCACGUCUUGACGGUACCUAAUCAGAAAGCCACGGCUAACUACGUG
rnacentral:rRNA from 1 species